rnacentral:misc_RNA from 1 species
AACGCAUAUUGCGCUCUCUGGUAUUCCGGGGAGCAUGCCUGUUUCAGCAUCAUUGGAACAUCUCAAAAUCGUUUUUUGAUUUUGGACGCUGGGCCUUGUUGAGUGUUUUUACCCAACUGGCCUGAAAUUGUGUAAUAAAUAAUACAAGAAAUUGUGUGGAUGUCUUGUUGCUUAAGACGAAAAGCUAAUUAGUUGACUAUGGUCAAACUUUGCUGACUAGUCUUUCAUAACUUGCAAAUCCUAACACUCACAAAUUGAUCUGAAAUCAGGUAGGAUUACCCGCUGAACUUAA